UACGAAGGGGACUAGCGUUGUUCGGAAUUACUGGGCGUAAAGCGCGCGUAGGUGGUUUGUUAAGUUGGAUGUGAAAGCCCCGGGCUCAACCUGGGAAUUGCAUUCGAGACUGAAUAGCUAGGGUGCGGUAGAGGGAAGCGGAAUUUCCGGUGUAGCGGUGAAAUGCGUAGAUAUCGGAAGGAACAUCAGUGGCGAAAGCGGCUUCCUGGACCAGCACCGACGUUCAGGCACGAAAGCGUGGGGAGCAAACAGG
rnacentral:rRNA from 1 species